UUCCCCCAAAUUUUCAACAUCCUGAACGUUCUUGAAUAAUUCUCUUCCGAACGGGUCAAAUUGAAAACCGGCUUUUUCUGCCUCCACGUUUAAUUCCCAAGGCGGUAUAGACAAAUAAUAUUAAAAUUACAUAGCUAUUAGUUACAGCGAAAAACUCUUGACACUGAAACAGUCAUGGCUGUCCUCGAGGAAUUUUUUUCAAAUGAUAGUUAUUAUUUAUUCAGUUUAUACGCCUGCUGACACGAAAGAACGUAYCGUCAAGACACAACACGUUUGCUGGUAACACACAGGUUUUGCUGCUUCAUGUYUCCUGCUUAAAAAGAAUUUUCAAACGGAGUGAUGACCACGUUGCACGUUAACCUGCGAGAAGAGGGUUACAGUUUCUCUCAGUCCCUCCGUACAGCUGAGCGGAACGUUGGUCKGGGGGUUUCUCCCCCUGAAGCGAGGACGAAGGACAGGAAAAAGAACUCUGCUAGCAGGGUAUUGGCACAUAAGUCAUGUACAAAUUGYUGGCUGUUGGUCAGCUUUUUCAGUCUUGAGUUACAAGUUUCCACCAAUAGUAUUGCCAAAAAACAAUAAAAAGUCAACUUGA